UACGUAGGGUGCAAGCGUUAUCCGGAAUUAUUGGGCGUAAAGGGCGCGUAGGCGGUUCGUACAGUCAGACGUGAAAUUCCUGGGCUCAACCUGGGGGGCUGCGUUUGAUACGUGCGGACUUGAGUGCGGAAGAGGGUCGUGGAAUUCCCAGUGUAGAGGUGAAAUUCGUAGAUAUUGGGAAGAACACCGGUGGCGAAGGCGGCGACCUGGUCCGAUACUGACGCUGAGGCGCGAAAGCGUGGGGAGCAAACAGG
rnacentral:rRNA from 1 species